UCGUAGCCUCGCCCACGCAGGGAACGACCUGUCGCUA
rnacentral:tRNA from 1 species